UGGGGAAUAUUGGACAAUGGGCGAAAGCCUGAUCCAGCAAUGCCGCGUGAGUGAUGAAGGCCUUAGGGUUGUAAAGCUCUUUUACCCGGGAUGAUAAUGACAGUACCGGGAGAAUAAGCUCCGGCUAACUCCGUGCCAGCAGCCGCGGUAAUACGGAGGGAGCUAGCGUUAUUCGGAAUUACUGGGCGUAAAGCGCACGUAGGCGGCUUUGUAAGUUAGAGGUGAAAGCCUGGAGCUCAACUCCAGAAUUGCCUUUAAGACUGCAUCGCUUGAAUCCAGGAGAGGUGAGUGGAAUUCCGAGUGUAGAGGUGAAAUUCGUAGAUAUUCGGAAGAACACCAGUGGCGAAGGCGGCUCACUGGACUGGUAUUGACGCUGAGGUGCGAAAGCGUGGGGAGCGAAACAGGAUUAGAUACCCUGGUAGUCCACGCCGUAAACGAUGAUAACUAGCUGUCGGGCUCUUAGAGCUUCGGUGGCGCAGCUAACG
rnacentral:rRNA from 1 species